AUUGAACGCUGGCGGCAGGCCUAACACAUGCAAGUCGAGCGGAUGACGGGAGCUUGCUCCUUGAUUCAGCGGCGGACGGGUGAGUAAUGCCUAGGAAUCUGCCUGGUAGUGGGGGACAACGUUUCGAAAGGAACGCUAAUACCGCAUACGUCCUACGAGAGAAAGCUGGGGACCUUCGGGCCUUGCGCUAUCAGAUGAUCCUAGGUCGGAUUAGCUAGUUGGUGAGGUAAUGGCUCACCAAGGGGACGAUCCGUAACUGGUCUGAGAGGAUGAUCAGUCACACUGGUACUGAGACACGGUCCAGACUCCUACGGGAGGCAGCAGUGGGGAAUAUUGGACAAUGGGCGAAAGCCUGAUCCAGCCAUGCCGCGUGUGUGAAGAAGGUCUUCGGAUUGUAAAGCACUUUAAGUUGGGAGGAAGGGCAGUAAGUUAAUACCUUGCUGUUUUGACGUUACCGACAGAAUAAGCACCGGCUAACUCUGUGCCAGCCGCCGCAGUAA
rnacentral:rRNA from 1 species